UAAUAGGUGCCUCCAACAGAACUUGAAGCUUUGCUACUAACACACCCUGAAAUCGACGAUUGUGUUGUGAUCCCGUUUCCUGACAAGGAUGUAGGGCAGUUUCUGAUGGCGUAUGUGGUGAGGAAAAAUGGAAGUGGUCUAACCGAAAAGGGCGUUAUGGACUUCGUUUCUAAACAGGUGGCUCCGUACAAGAGAAUAAGGCGAGUAACCUUCACCGGGUCGGUCCCGAAGAACCCGUCUGGGAAGAUUCUGAGGAAAGAUCUGAUACAACUUGCAACUUC